rnacentral:rRNA from 1 species
UACGUAGGGUGCAAGCGUUAAUCGGAAUUACUGGGCGUAAAGCGUGCGCAGGCGGUUAUGCAAGGCAGAGGUGAAAUCCCCGGGCUCAACCUGGGAACUGCCUUUGUGACUGCAUAGCUAGAGUACGGUAGAGGGGGAUGGAAUUCCGCGUGUAGCAGUGAAAUGCGUAGAUAUGCGGAGGAACACCGAUGGCGAAGGCAAUCCCCUGGACCUGUACUGACGCUCAUGCACGAAAGCGUAGGGAGCAAACAGG